GUGUCCUCUCUCAGGCAUCAUGUGUACCCCAAGUAGAAUGACACAGAGAAUAUUAAUAAGAUCCCUGCUCAAGGAUGACAUGCAAAUUUAUGAAGCAUUCCACAUUUUU